CAAAUGUGAAGAUGGAAUGAUGCUGCGAACAUGUGGUAAACAUGCAAUUCUAUCGACUUCGACGACGAGACUAAAACCGACUACAGCUACGCAACGUUGCUUAAUUACUAUGAUUACGACCAUAUUUACACGACAUGACUGGACGCACCUGUUGGCGACAUCCACCCAACGAACUUUAUCUACUACCCCGGGGUUUCAUUUGACUGGUAAUCGAUUGGUACCUAUGGUUUCAAAUCUGCGGCUGAAAAUACGCCCAA